AUUGAACGCUGGCGGCAGGCCUAACACAUGCCAGUCGAGCGGAUGAAGGGAGCUUGCUCCUGGAUUCAGCGGCGGACGGGUGAGUAAUGCCUAGGAAUCUGCCUGGUAGUGGGGGAUAACGUCCGGAAACGGGCGCUAAUACCGCAUACGUUCUGAGGGAGAAAGUGGGGGAUCUUCGGACCUCACGCUAUCAGAUGAGCCUAGGUCGGAUUAGCUAGUUGGUGGGGUAAAGGCCUACCAAGGCGACGAUCCGUAACUGGUCUGAGAGGAUGAUCAGUCACACUGGAACUGAGACACGGUCCAGACUCCUACGGGAGGCAGCAGUGGGGAAUAUUGGACAAUGGGCGAAAGCCUGAUCCAGCCAUGCCGCGUGUGUGAAGAAGGUCUUCGGAUUGUAAAGCACUUUAAGUUGGGAGGAAGGGCAGUAAGUUAAUACCUUGCUGUUUUGACGUUACCAACAGAAUAAGCACCGGCUAACUUCGUG
rnacentral:rRNA from 1 species